UACAGAGGGGGCAAGCGUUGUUCGGAAUUACUGGGCGUAAAGCGCGCGUAGGCGGCCUUCUAAGUCGAAUGUGAAAUCCCCGGGCUCAACCCGGGAACUGCGUCCGAUACUGGAAGGCUUGAAUCCGGGAGAGGGAUGCGGAAUUCCAGGUGUAGCGGUGAAAUGCGUAGAUAUCUGGAGGAACACCGGUGGCGAAGGCGGCAUCCUGGACCGGCAUUGACGCUGAGGUGUGAAAGCGUGGGGAGCAAACAGG
rnacentral:rRNA from 1 species